rnacentral:rRNA from 1 species
GCUGGCGGCGUGCCUAUACAUGCAAGUCGAGCGAGCUGAAUUCAAAGAUCCCUUCGGGAUGAUUUGUUGGACGCUAGCGGCGGAUGGGUGAGUAACACGUGGGCAAUCUGCCCUAAAGACUGGGAUACCACUUGGAAACAGGUGCUAAUACCGGAUAACAACAUGAAUCGCAUGAUUCAAGUUUGAAAGGCGGCGUAAGCUGUCACUUUAGGAUGAGCCCGCGGCGCAUUAGCUAGUUGGUGGGGUAAAGGCCUACCAAGGCAAUGAUGCGUAGCCGAGUUGAGAGACUGAUCGGCCACAUUGGGACUGAGACACGGCCCAAACUCCUACGGGAGGCAGCAGUAGGGAAUCUUCCACAAUGGACGCAAGUCUGAUGGAGCAACGCCGCGUGAGUGAAGAAGGUUUUCGGAUCGUAAAGCUCUGUUGUUGGUGAAGAAGGAUAGAGGCAGUAACUGGUCUUUAUUUGACGGUAAUCAACCAGAAAGUCACGGCUAACUACGUGCCAGCAGCCGCGGUAAUACGUAGGUGGCAAGCGUUGUCCGGAUUUAUUGGGCGUAAAGCGAGCGCAGGCGGAAUGAUAAGUCUGAUGUGAAAGCCCACGGCUCAACCGUGGAACUGCAUCGGAAACUGUCAUUCUUGAGUGCAGAAGAGGAGAGUGGAAUUCCAUGUGUAGCGGUGGAAUGCGUAGAUAUAUGGAAGAACACCAGUGGCGAAGGCGGCUCUCUGGUCUGCAACUGACGCUGAGGCUCGAAAGCAUG